rnacentral:rRNA from 1 species
GGGGCCCUUGCCCCUGGCGGCGCACGGCUCAGUAAUACACGGUCAACCUGCCCUGGGGACCGGGAUAACCUCGGGAAACUGAGGCUAAUCCCGGAUAGGGGUGGAUUCCUGGAAUGGGUCCACCCCCAAAGUAGGCGGGGGAAUGGCCCCGCUGAGGCCCCAGGAUGGGACCGUGGCCCAUCAGGUAGUAGGUGGGGUAACGGCCCACCUAGCCUAAGACGGGUGCGGGCGGUGGGAGCCGGAGCCCGGAGAUGGGCACUGAGACAAGGGCCUAGGCCCUACGGGGCGCAGCAGGCGCGAAACUUCCCCAAUGCGCGCAAGCGUGAGGGAGUGAGCCCGAGUGCCGCCCGCUGAGGGCGGCUGUUCCCGGGUGUAAACAGCCCGGGGUAGGAAGGGGAGGGUAAGGCUGGUGCCAGCCGCCGCGGUAAAACCAGCUCCUCGAGGGGUCCCCACGCAUACUGGGCCUAAAGCGUCCGUAGCCGGCCCCGUAAGUCCCCGGUUAAAUCCACCGGAAGACCGGUGGGCCGCCGGGGAUACUGCGGGGCUAGGGAGCGGGAGGGGCCGAGGGUAUUCCGGGGGAUAGCGGUAAAAUGCGUAGAUCCCCGGAGGACCACCAGUGGCGAAGGCGCUCGGCUGGAACGCGUCCGACGGUGAGGGACGAAAGCUGGGGGAGCAAACCGGAUUAGAUACCCG